rnacentral:rRNA from 1 species
UACGUAGGGUGCAAGCGUUAAUCGGAAUUACUGGGCGUAAAGCGUGCGCAGGCGGUUAUGUAAGACAGGUGUGAAAUCCCCGGGCUUAACCUGGGAACUGCAUUUGUGACUGCAUGGCUAGAGUACGGUAGAGGGGGAUGGAAUUCCGCGUGUAGCAGUGAAAUGCGUAGAUAUGCGGAGGAACACCGAUGGCGAAGGCAAUCCCCUGGACCUGUACUGACGCUCAUGCACGAAAGCGUGGGGAGCAAACAGG